rnacentral:rRNA from 1 species
CGGGUGAGUAAUACAUCGGAACGUGUCUUCUAGUGGGGGAUAACUGCCCGAAAGGGCAGCUAAUACCGCAUGAGACCUGAGGGUGAAAGCGGGGGAUCGCAGGACCUCGCGCUGGAAGAGCGGCCGAUGUCCGAUUAGCUAGUUGGUGAGGUAAAGGCUCACCAAGGCGACGAUCGGUAGCUGGUCUGAGAGGACGACCAGCCACACUGGGACUGAGACACGGCCCAG